rnacentral:rRNA from 1 species
GUUAGGAAUAUUGGACAAUGGGCGAAAGCCUGAUCCAGCCAUGCCGCGUGAACGAUGAAGGCCUUCGGGUUGUAAAGUUCUUUAGCCGAUGAUUAUAAUGACUGUAGUCGGAAAAUAAGCCCCGGCUAACUUCGUGCCAGCAGCCGCGGUAAUACGAAGGGGGCGAGCGUUAUUCGGAAUCACUGGGCGUAAAGCGUGCGUAGGCGGUUUUGUAAGUUAGGAGUGAAAGCCCAGGGCUCAACCUUGGAAUUGCUCUUAAAACUGCAAGGCUCGAAUCUCGGAGAGGAUAGCGGAAUUUCCAGUGUAGCAGUGAAAUGCGUAGAUAUUGGAAGGAACACCAGUGGCGUAAGCGGCUACCUGGACGAGUAUUGACGCUGAGGCACGAAAGCGUGGGGAUCAAACAGGAUUAGAUACCCGUGUAGUCC